GGGCCCGCACAAGCGGUGGAGCAUGUGGAUUAAUUCGAAGCAACGCGAAGAACCUUACCUAGCCUUGACAUCCUUGGAACCUGCCCCAAAAGGCGGGGUGUCCUUCGGGAAAUCAAGUGACAGGUGCUGCAUGGCUGUCGUCAGCUCGUGUCGUGAGAUGUUGGGUUAAGUCCCGCAACGAGCGCAACCCUUGUCUUUAGUUGCCAUCAUUUAGUUGGGCACUCUAGAGAGACUGCCGGUGUCAAGCCGGAGGAAGGUGGGGACGACGUCAAGUCAUCAUGGCCCUUACGGCUAGGGCUUCACACGUGCUACAAUGGGCGGUACAAAGGGUCGCGAAACCGCGAGGUGGAGCUAAUCCCAAAAAGCCGCUCUCAGUUCGGAUUGGAGUCUGCAACUCGACUCCUUGAAGUUGGAGUCGCUAGUAAUCGCAAAU
rnacentral:rRNA from 1 species